rnacentral:rRNA from 1 species
UACGUAGGGUGCAAGCGUUGUCCGGAAUUACUGGGCGUAAAGCGCACGUAGGCGGUCUUUUAAGUCGGGGGUGAAAUCCUGGAGCUCAACUCCAGAACUGCCUUCGAUACUGGAAGACUUGAGUCCGGGAGAGGUGAGUGGAACUGCGAGUGUAGAGGUGAAAUUCGUAGAUAUUCGCAAGAACACCAGUGGCGAAGGCGGCUCACUGGUCCAUAACUGACGCUGAGGCACGAAAGCGUGGGGAGCAAACAGG